rnacentral:rRNA from 1 species
AUUGAACGCUGGCGGCAUGCCUUACACAUGCAAGUCGAACGGCAGCACGGGGGCAACCCUGGUGGCGAGUGGCGAACGGGUGAGUAAUACAUCGGAACGUGCCCCGUAGCGGGGGACAACCAGUCGAAAGACUGGCUAAUACCGCAUACGCUCCACGGAGGAAAGCAGGGGACCGCAAGACCUUGCACUAUGGGAGCGGCCGAUGCCCGAUUAGCUAGUUGGUGAGGAAAGGCUCACCAAGGCAACGAUCGGUAGCUGGUCUGAGAGGACGACCAGCCACACUGGGACUGAGACACGGCCCAGACUCCUACGGGAGGCAGCAGUGGGAAUUUUGGACAAUGGGCGCAAGCCUGAUCAGCCAUGCCGCGUGCGGGAAGAAGGCCUGGU